rnacentral:lncRNA from 1 species
UGUGGGAUGACAUAUUAUUCGCAUCUUUGCUUUUAUGCUUUGUUUCACAGAAAUGGAGGAGGAUGAUGAAGAAUUGGAGAGAAUGAUGCUUUCUAUAUCCCCAUCCAAACUCCAAGGCCAACGGAAAGUGGAGGAGGGUGAAGAAUUGGGGAGGAUGAUGCUACCCACAUAUUCAUCUAAAAUUCCAGGCCAACUGAGUUCAGACGUUGUUGGAGUCCCAGUGGUCAAAGGUCUUAUUCCUACUGCAUACUAGGGAUGAUUCUGACAUGAAUCAGGAUUAUCUGUUCUACAUUGAUUUGUUGCUGUUUGUUGGUUAGGCCACGUUCAGGCCUGUUCUAAUUCGUGUGUUCAAUUGUUCUACUAACAUUGAAGGCAUUUAUAUCUCAUCAUUGAUGGUAAGUACAGAGUUCUUGUUUUGCAUGUUUUUUCCAUGCUAGACUUUAAAGGUUUGGUAUGUACAUGAUUUAUAGAGUAAAAUAUGUAAAUCUCCAAAAUGCAGAAGUACAGCAAAAUAACAAAUAUGUAUUCAUUUGGACUAGAAUGGUGCAUCCCAUUUGAUACAUGAAGCUGUAGAUUAGUCAUGUAAUGUAGACACAUUAGCAUACCACACCCCUAAUAUUAUAAAGAGUCUUGACAUGUGUUCGAUGGGUCUGCAUGCAUUUACAUGACUAUUUAUUAACACAUUUAAUAAGGGACAGUACUACAGGCUAUUAGAAUGACAUUACAUUUUUCUGUGUUAGGGAGGCGUAAACCACCAGCAACACUCUCAAAACCAGACCGGCCUGAUGAAUAUAGUGCUACUGCAUCUCCACGGCCAGUGAGGGUUCCUUUGCCAGUACCUCCAGAGUUGCUUGAAUUAUCUACAAGCAAGACCACAUCGCCUUUGAGACCAGUGCAGGAAACUGUGUUCUGUCAGUCCCUCCUCCCAGUGACCUCUGCACAGUCUACAGCCUCUACUCCUCCCUCAGGACCCCCCGCAGUUGCUGGCCAGUCUUUCUCUGGAUUCCCUGCAGCCACUACUGGGUACCCCUCAACUCAGUUGGAGGAGAAGCAUGCUGUUCCACCACUGCCAAGCUAUGAGCAGGAUGUGAUAAGAUGGCACUGCUCUCAAAAGCAGAGAAUCUGGAUGAAAACAGAUAUGGAAGCCUUGGGACUGUGGCCAGGUUCUAGACCAGUGAGACAUCCAAUGAACAUGAUCUCCUUGUGGCGUUACCCACCUCAGCCUGAGCUUAUUGAUGUGGUCUAUGAGCUGCCAUCACCUAAAUACUUUCAACUUCAUCCAUUCUUCAUUUGGAAACCAGAGCACACCAUUAUGGAAAGAGUCCGCAACAACUACACUCUUCCAUGUCUGUACGGC